UACGUAGGGGGCAAGCGUUGUCCGGAAUCAUUGGGCGUAAAGCGCGUGUAGGCGGCCCGGUAAGUCCGCUGUAAAAGUCCAGGGCUCAACCCUGGAAAGCCGGUGGAUACUGUCGGGCUCGAGUCCGGAAGAGGCGAGUGGAAUUCCUGGUGUAGCGGUGAAAUGCGCAGAUAUCAGGAGGAACACCAGUGGCGAAGGCAGCUCGCUGGGACGGUACUGACGCUGAGACGCGAAAGCGUGGGGAGCAAACAGG
rnacentral:rRNA from 1 species